UCUUUUAACCAUUAUUUCAAAUUCAAAGAAUCCUGUUUGAAACAUUUAUUAAACUUAUAGAAUUAAAUUUCUGCUAGUUGUUUUUUGUUGCAAAAAAAUCUAGUUUAAUAAUAUUUAAAUUUACAUAUAUUUUUCACGUUUUCAAUGCCAAUUUUGUGUAAUGGCAAAGUUUCCCACUACCCGUGAAUGCCUCUUUUGUACGUCUCUGGCUGACUCCUGAAUCUCCGCCCACUCUCUGCUUGAUCCCUGCCGAGUGAAAGAGAUCUUUGGUUUUGCCUUUGCUGACUGCUGAUCUGAUCGUCUCAAGUCUGGUGAGUAAAGGUUUGUCUGAGGUGCAGUGCUGGGAAAUGUUUCUCAUUAUAGGAGAUUCAGUGUAGUGCUGUGAGUCAGCACAGCUAUUGUGAUCAUCAAAAGUCAUCAAAUCCUAAAAAAGUCUGUGUAAACCUUUCCAGACCUACAGAGGUCGGUAGGUUAUUGUAGCAGCGCAUAUU
rnacentral:lncRNA from 1 species